UUGCCAGCCCGCUCAGAAACUUAAUGAAUUGACGGGGCCGCACAAGCGGUGGAGCAUGUGGUUUAAUUCGAUGAUACGCGAGGAACCUUACCUGGGCUCAAAUGUAUGUUGACGUAUUCUGAAAGGGAUACUUCUUCGGACAAUAUACAAGGUGCUGCAUGGUUGUCGUCAGCUCGUGCCGUGAGGUGUCGGGUUAAGUCCCAUAACGAGCGCAACCCCUAUCAUUAGUUGCCAUCAGGUCAAGCUGGGGACUCUAAUGAAACUGCCUACGCAAGUAGUGAGGAAGGUGGGGAUGACGUCAAAUCAGCACGGCCCUUACGUCCAGGGCUACACACGUGCUACAAUGGCCGGUACAAAGGGCAGCUACCUGGUGACAGGAUGCUAAUCUCAAAAGCCGGUCUCAGUUCGGAUCGGAGUCUGCAACCCGACUCCGUGAAGUUGGAAUCGCUAGUAAUCGUGGAUCAGCAUGCCACGGUGAAUACGUUCCCGGGCCUU
rnacentral:rRNA from 1 species